rnacentral:rRNA from 1 species
CCUACGGGUGGCAGCAGUGGGGAAUAUUGCACAAUGGGGGAAACCCUGAUGCAGCGACGCCGCGUGAGUGAAGAAGUAAUUAGUUAUGUAAAGCUCUAUCAGCAGGGAAGAAAAUGACGGUACCUGAGUAAGAAGCCCCAGCUAACUACGUGACAGCAGCGGCGGUAAUACGUAGGGGGCAAGCGUUAUUCGGAUGUACUGGGUGUAAAGGGAGCGUAAACGGCCAUGCAAGUCCGGAGUGAAAGGUGGGGGCUCAACCCCCGGAUUGCCGUGGAAACUGUAGGGCUGGAGUGCAGGAGAGGUAAGGGGAAUUCGUGGUGUAGCGGUGAAAGGCUUAGAUAUUAGGAGGAACUCCAGUGGCGAAGGCGGCUUACUGGACUGUAACUGACGCUGAGGCUCGAAAGCGUGGGGAGCGAACAGGAUUAGAUACCCGGGUAGUC